CGGGUCCUUUAAGACAAAAAAUAUAAGAAACUAUUUCUAUAUGUCUGAAUUUGGAAACUUCUUGAAUCUUGUUGUCUCUAACUCUAAAAUGUCGGUGUAGUUGCCGCUUUGUGCGAGUCCUAUCCUCCAUCAAUGGUUCAAAGAUGAUGUUGAGCUUGAAAUCUUCUAAUUUGUACCAUCGCUGUGGGUAAAUGAAGAUCUUUCGUUUGUUGUUGAACCUCAGGUAUUUGAUCGAUGCUGAAUUUGUAUGAGCUUCUAGCUUGUUGUAAACCAUUGUUGUAGUGGAUCUGCUUGCAGAUGUUCAGGUACUCCAUUUUCUUCUUGCAAUCUGCCACUGUUGUGAGCUUGAAAAAUCGAUUUUGCUAUUGAUUUUGCCAUGUUUGUUGGUGUCCUUUUAUGUUACCCCCUCUGGUUAUGUGAAUCUCUUGCAAUAUAUCUGUAUAAAUGCUAUUAUUUGUAUCCCUGCACUUUGAUCUGCUGCAUUCAUUAAGUUGGAGAAAUCUAUGGUGAAAUCUAGAAAGAUAGUUGGAGAAGA